rnacentral:rRNA from 1 species
GAUGAACGCUGGCGGCGUGCUUAACACAUGCAAGUCGAACGGUGAACGAGGGAGCUUGCUCCCUCCGGAUCAGUGGCGAACGGGUGAGUAACACGUGAGCAAUCUGCCCUGGACUCUGGGAUAAGCGUUGGAAACGACGUCUAAUACCAGAUACGAGGCGUGGGGGCAUCCCCAACGCCUGGAAAGAACUUCGGUCCAGGAUGAGCUCGCGGCCUAUCAGCUAGUUGGUGAGGUAACGGCUCACCAAGGCGACGACGGGUAGCCGGCCUGGGAGGGUGACCGGCCACACUGGGACUGAGACACGGCCCGGACUCCUACGGGAGGCAGCAGUGGGGAAUAUUGCACAAUGGGCGCAAGCCUGAUGCAGCAACGCCGCGUGAGGGACGACGGCCUUCGGGUUGUAAACCUCUUUUAGCAGGGAAGAAGCGAAAGUGACGGUACCUGCAGAAAAAGCACCGGCUAACUACGUGCCAGCAGCCGCCGUAAGAC